GAUCCAGCCAUGCCGCGUGUGUAAAGAAGGCCUUUUGGUUGUAAAGCACUUUAAGCGAGGAGGAGGCUACCUGGAUUAAUACUCUAGGAUAGUGGACGUUACUCGCAGAAUAAGCACCGGCUAACUCUGUGCCAGCAGCCGCGGUAAUACAGAGGGUGCGAGCGUUAAUCGGAUUUACUGGGCGUAAAGCGUGCGUAGGC
rnacentral:rRNA from 1 species